UACAGAGGGUGCGAGCGUUGAUCGGAAUUAUUGGGCGUAAAGCGUGCGUAGGCGGUGAUUUAAGUCGGAUGUGAAAGCCCCGGGCUCAACCUGGGAAUUGCAUUCGAGACUGAAUAGCUAGGGUGCGGUAGAGGGAAGCGGAAUUUCCGGUGUAGCGGUGAAAUGCGUAGAUAUCGGAAGGAACAUCAGUGGCGAAAGCGGCUUCCUGGACCAGCACCGACGUUCAGGCACGAAAGCGUGGGGAGCAAACAGG
rnacentral:rRNA from 1 species